rnacentral:rRNA from 1 species
AGUGAACGCUGGCGGCGUGCCUAACACAUGCAAGUCGAACGGGCUAGUGCUUCGCACUAGUCUCUUUCUGGGGUUGUUACUCUAAGGCUACCUGCUAAAGUUAUUGCUUUAAAGCAGGGGUUUUAGGAGACUUUCUCCGAAAGGGGCCAGUGCGGAGCACUGGCCAGUGGCGAACGGGUGAGUAACACGUGGGUAACCUACCUGGAAGACAGGGAUAACGAUUCGAAAGGGUCGCUAAUACCUGAUAAUAUCCAUCUGCCGGAUGGCGGAGGGAGAAAGGGGAACCCGCUUUCAGAUGGGCCCGCGUCCCAUCAGCUAGUUGGUAAGGUAAAGGCUUACCAAGGCGACGACGGGUACCGGUCUGAGAGGAUGUACGGCCACACUGGGACUGAGAUACGGCCCAGACUCCUACGGGAGGCAGCAGUUGGGAAUCUUAGGCAAUGGACAAAGUCUGACCUAGCGACGCCGCGUGAGGGAAGAAGGCCUUCGGGUUGUAAACCUCUGUCAGUGGGGGAAGAAGGUAAGUAGACC